UCACUAAGUAUCUCACAAGACCAAGUAUAACUAACAUCACCAACACUCACAAAUAUAAGUCUGGAUCAUCACAAAACAGGUCAUCAACGAGGUGGGCAUCUGGACUGGUUCGGCGAAGGGCUGGACGAAGCGUGAGGGUUGUUCGACACCGCCGAUUGACCGUGCACAGAGAAGAGAUUGCAUGUGUGAGAACAUAUGAAUAUAUAUCAUGCAGUACUAAAAUUUUGAUACUCACAGGAGUAGUGAACUCAGCAGGGUCAGCUGCAGGGAACAACGGAGGUGGUGGAGCAUGACCCUGUGCGGCGCCAAGGCUCUGCAUGUACGCGAACAUCUCCG
rnacentral:lncRNA from 1 species